CUUAUUUCAAAGUUGAUGGUCUUGGAAAUGUUGGCGCAGCAUCUCGAUAAAAUUGUUAGCAAUCCUCAUCCAGCGUGUUUGCAGAGCCAUGACUUUGUUCAAGAGGUACAGCGUUUGUUUAUGGUGUAAAUCGAGGACACACAUGUGCAACAUCAUCGGAGAAUCGAGGACAGGGACCAAAUCGAGGAUUCCUCGGUUAGAAACGUGUACAAAACCAAUGAGAGCUGUUGCGAAAAAGUUAUAGUACAAACAAAGGAAAAGGGAAGGGGAACAAAAGAAAAUCCUUGAUUUACACCAUAAACAAACGUGUAUGUGUAAGCAAAGGUAAACAUGAUAAAGUAAAUUUGAGUCCCUGCAAAAUUUCCAAGGAUAAUGAUUUAUACUGGGAAUUUAAUAACGUCCUGAAACAAAACUACUCAAUGAUUAUGCAUGGAAAUGAAAGGCAAUUCUUAAAAGCGAUUUUAAAAAUUGUGUGUCUCCACUUGUUACUUCACCAUUCUUGUAGCUUUCAUGUACGGAAUGAUUUCUGCAAAGCUUGUAGGCCUACGCAGUGUGUUUGCACUUAAAAUGGGUGAUAGCUGCAGCUCACGAUCAUAUUCCUUUUGUUUGUUAAUUUGCAAGACUGUGUCAAGCAAAUGCUAAUCUAAAGUUGUCAGCUCUAUGCAUAAAGUAUCUUUAAAAGCCACAGCCUAAAUGCUAGACAGUUUCUUUUGCUUCUAACUUGCCUUGUAUUUCGGAUAAUAACCCCCCUCUCUCUCCCCACUAACCCUCUUCCUUAGUCCUGUUGCUCUUGUGGGUCCCCCUCAACACCGUCUUGUUGUGGGACCGGUAACUCGUGUUCCUGUUCCCACUGUGAAUGUGCCGGCUGUGACUGUGCCUGCCAGGCCCCAGAAUGUGACACCAUUGACUGCCUGUGCUUCAAGGUCAACAUGCACAACUGAAUGUGCUCAUUCUGCCUCCAGCCGUAGAGGAAUGACAAAUAAUGCAACGCUCAUGGCAAUGCUGGAGGAAUGUCUGUCAUCAGUAGUGUUAGGUUUGCGAGUAUGGCUCCGUGCAGAAGUACCCCUCAACGGUUACAAAGGGAGAGUUGGGGGAGAUGGGCAGGGACGUUCGAACACAUUCAAAGACGCUAAGGAAUUGGCGUACAUUUAGAAUACAUUUAGUCAGUACUUUGCGCCAUACGCAUGCGAACCAGUAUGCGAACCUGGUGUGUUAAUUUCGUCCACUGGGCUUGAGAAAGUGGUCAAAAAUAUCCAUCUACUGUUUGCACAGAGUCUAUAGACUGUUAUCAUGCAGCCACCAUUUCAGUCAUGUUCCCUGUAUUCAAUAUAAGUACUGAAUGAUAAUGUUUUUUUGUGCAAAAAGGAACCAGACUAUUUUUCCUUGCAGCCUCGCUUGGGUUACGUUGAUUUGAAUGGGAAAAAAAGCAAGAUGGCCGCAAUAUGAUAAUGGUCUAUUGGGCCACUACUUAAGUUUGUCAUUGUUUUGAAUUUGGCACAAGUGUACUUUCUUUUCUUGAGUAACUUAAAAGAUGCUUUCAGGUUGAGUUGAAGCUAGGAUUCAUUUAAGCAGAGUGUUCAAAUGCACAGACAAUUUAUUACAGGGAAGGCCCUCACCGCAUGUGUGCAGGAAGAGUGGGGCAGUGAGCCCCUUUUUCAGUUUCACAAUUUUUACCCAGUUUGAUACAAUUUUUGUCCUUUUGUAAGCCUGGAGUACAUGUGUACUCAGCACUGCUGCACUGAUCUAUGGCUGGACGGUUGUGAACAUGGUUUGUUAUUGCCCUGGUCUGGGUACAAUGAACACUUUCAUCGUGGAAGUUGCAUGGUGACUGCGCUUUAAUAAUAGCAAGCUGGGGAAAGGAGCCACGUCCAGCAUGCAUGUUGGAUCUUACUGUGCUUGAACAGGGCCAUUGCUAGUGGGAGGGUGUGGGGGCGUAUGACACCCACCCAUUCAUAAUUUCUGUCGGCAAAUCCAUAAUUGUUGUCGGCAAAUGUGUAAAAUUGAGGGCCUUUUUUAUAUUCUUUUACUGUUGUUGGCAAAUUUUGAAUCGGAGGACUUUUUUUUUUUUGUUCUUUGUUUUUUGCUAGUCAAAUAUUUCAUUGCAAGUUUGUCGGCAAAUUUUACUUUUCACACCCAUAACUUUUUCUGUUGGUAAAUUUGAGGAAGUUUUUUUCUUUUCGACAUGUCGAAAGUUUUGUAUGCAAACUUGUUGGCAAAUUUGGUCCUACACCCCCCCCCCCUCCCCAUUGAAAAUGUUCUAGCGACGCCCCUGUGCUUGAAGAUAAUUCAUUAUACCACUUGCACUUGUGGAACACGAAAAAACGGGUGCAUACCUAUGUUCCCCAAUACUGAUGUUCCCUGAAAUCCUAAGCCUAACCCUAACCCUAAUCCUAAGGAUUUCGGGGAAUAUCGAUAUUGGGGAGCAUAGGUAUUGGGGAGCAUUGGGUAGACCCCCACGAAAACAAAUAGUGUGUCUGUGUUCCACAUGCCAAUGGGACACAGGUGCACUACAUUAUUUUGUGUCUACCUGUCGAUCGUUGGAUAUCUCAUAGGGUAAUACGUAUACACAUUUCUGUUUGUAGAAAGUGUGUUUUUAAGUUUGUACUAAUGACUACAUAUGGGACAAGUUUGUGUUAUAUUGUGCAUCUGGUUUGUUGUGUACUUGUAAAUAUAUUUUCAUAUUGUU
rnacentral:lncRNA from 1 species